rnacentral:tRNA from 1 species
GGAGACGUGGCCGAGCGGCUGAAGGCGGCGGUUUGCUAAACCGUUGUACGGGUAACACCCGUACCGGAGGUUCGAAUCCUCUCGUCUCCGCCA